UACGUAGGGCGCAAGCGUUGUCCGGAAUUAUUGGGCGUAAAGAGCUCGUAGGCGGCCUGUUACGUCUGCUGUGAAAUUCCGGGGCUCAACCCCGGAGCUGCAUUUGAAACUCCUGAGCUAGAGUUCAGUUAGGGAAAACGGAAUUCCACAUGUAGCGGUGAAAUGCGUAGAGAUGUGGAAGAACACCGGUGGUGAAGACGGUUUUCUGGGCUGACACUGACGCUGAGGCGCGAAAGCAUGGGGAGCAAACAGG
rnacentral:rRNA from 1 species